CCGGGAGCCAGCCGCCGAAGGUGGGGCAAAUGAUUGGGGUGAAGUCGUAACAAGGUAGCCGUAUCGGAAGGUGCGGCUGGAUCACCUCCUUU
rnacentral:rRNA from 1 species